AUAAGGAUACCUACCAUUUACUUAUUAUAUUAUAAAAAAUAUUAACUUUAUUCACAUACUAAAGGGACAGGAUGAACAAAUGAAUCGCUGAACGAAUCAUAUGAGAGUCGCCGGGAUAAUUAGGUAAAAAUAAACGCCUAUUAUAAGACAAUGAAAGUGUUUUUUGACCUUGCAUGCAGAUCAGCCUGUUGUUAGAAACCCCCAAAACCAAAAUAUGACCUUUUUAAUGCAUAAUAGGGGCUCUUUAGUGUGUAAGCAAUUGAGAAAUACUCUAAUUUAAAACCCUGCUCUAUGUGUAUCCCACAUGUUUAUGUCACAACUAAACCCUUCUUCAUUUUUACAGGCAUUCGAUCGCCCCAGUGAUGAACAUCUAUCUUGUCAGUCCAUCCCGGGCCGUCCUCGACUUAAGACGAGACCCUGGAGACAGCUUAAUUCAGCAGUGUGAUUAAUUAAAAUGGGGCCCGUAAUGGAAGGCACACACAGCGUACUGCGUCUGUACAAACCCAUCCAGGAGCGCUGCUUCAUCAGUGUGUAUUUCCCAAAGAGAAAGUCCCGAGGUUUUCCACGCGCUGGCCAAACCCUCGGUGAAGUCCAGCCUCUGUGCAGAAGUCAGCAUGAACAAAGAGGCCAGUAUUGCAGACCAGCGGAGGACAACAGAGGAGUGUUUGCGCAGCUCCUGCUGUCUUUAUGCAGCGACUGCGCACACCGGCUGAGGAUGGGGAACCAGGACGGCAAGCUGGAGGGGUACGGAGAACACCUGGAACAUGAAAAUAAAAGAGCGUCUUCAAGAGUGCGUAAGCAGAAGAAACUGAGCUCCAAGAAACUGAACAUCACUGAAGAAUCCAACACAAUGAAGAGGAAGACGACACUGAAGGAAACAGCAUCUCAGCUUCCCUCCAAAUCUGCAUCCUACCGCAGCCAGCCUCUACUGCCCAUGAAGGAGCACUUCCACAUGGCACAUGACGGAUGGGAUGUCAUGGAGGAGCCUCGCUCCUUCGACGCGGAGCUAUCAGAACUAGAGAACCUCUAUCUGGAGUACGAGAAACCACUGGGAAACACACGGGGAGGUGUGCAGAUCACCAAUAACACACAGCAGACUGACGGAAACACAUCUAGUGUGCACUAUAGAGAGGAUCAAAUAAACCGAAGAGAUCUUCAAUACGCUAAUGUGAAACCGGUAUCGUGUGCUAGACUGCAUGAAGGUGAAACAGAAGCCAAGCACUUUCCUAAAGAACAUUGUGAAGGAUCUCCUAAUAAUAAAAGUUCAAACGUUCGCUCCUGGAGCAGAAGCCCGACAUCAAGCUCUCUGUCUAGUGUUUUCAACAUGUCCUAUCCGCAGACUAACACUCUGCAAAGCAUGUCGCCUUUAUCGUCUCAACUGCCGAGUCCACAAAUGAACCACCGUAUCGUGAUGCUGCCUGAGGAUGAUGAUGAAGAUGAUGAUGGAAAUAAACGCUGCUUCUCCGAAAACCAGCUGAAGGUCAGCUCUGAGGUCAUUGAUAAAAACGGGAAUCGCAGGAGUGUGACGCGGCUGGAGCUUAGGUUGAGCGGGAGUUUGGCUGUUAACGGAGCCAGCACAUCCUCAGAAAACUCUCUGCUGCGGCCGGAGGACAUCUGGAUGCUGGAUGGGGAAGACUCCAUUACCCAGGAGCCUUUGUGUCGUCCCAGCAGGCCUGAUCACCUGGACUUCCUGAGGAUCACUCCGCCCGAGGAUGACAUCAUCGGAGACACGCCAUAUUAUCCCAGACUCGGCAUAACGUAA
ensembl:lincRNA